GUACUUAUCUGACAAGAAAGAUACCAUGAUCACGCAGUUGGUUUUCCCAGCAGAAACCAUCCAUUGCUCUCUGGAUGUGCUGACUCCUGCAAUUUCCCCAAAUGUGGGAAACUCAACUGCAUAAUUUCUAGUUGUGGGGGAUCGUGUUAACGCUCUCCCUUA